GACAGAGGGGGCAAGCGUUGCUCGGAAUUACUGGGCGUAAAGGGCGCGUAGGCGGAAUGGCAAGUCGGUCGUGAAAUCCUUCGGCUCAACCGAAGAACGUCGAUCGAAACUGCCGUUCUUGAGGAUUGCAGAGGAGACUGGAAUUCCCGGUGUAGCGGUGAAAUGUGUAGAUAUCAGGAGGAACGCCGGAGGCGAAAGCGAGUGACUGGCGCGUUCCUGACGCUGAGGUGCGAAAGCUAGGGGAGCAAACAGG
rnacentral:rRNA from 1 species